AUAUAUGGUUGUUCUUGUUCAACAGCACAUUUGGUCUCAACGAUGUUCCUAUCUGCUAGGGCAUUGCAGGAUAUUAAGUUUCCCUGGCUUUGAAAAGACGACAGCCCAACGGGAGUCCUAAAUCCUUGUUCCCACUUUUCAAAAUGGGGGCGGUGCUAGUUUACAGGUUCACAGAAGCUAUGUUACUGUGCACUGUCUAUCCGAGACUGCUAAAUAAUUAGCAAUGGCUGUUUCUAAUGAUUCCUCUUUUCAAGAAGAGCUGGAUGACGAAACAGGACUCUGGAGGACAAUACCGCUUGGAUACAAAGAAGUUGAUGACUCUCAAGAGAAGUUGUGAAAGGGGCAGGCAAACGACAGGUCAAGGCAGGCAGGGGUCGAUAAUCCAGAGCAGUGGGGCCAAGGUACAGGACGGCAGGCAGGCCUAGGGUCAGGUCAGGCAGAGAUUUUUCGUCAAUCCAGAUGCCCAGAUAUUUGUAAGCGGGGACCAUCCCAAUGUGAGUAUGCAUAAAUCAUCAAAUACACCUUUACAUGAUCUGGAAAAUAACAUAUACUUGGUUUUACCUGCAUUAAGUACCAAUUUCAGUUGAACAAAGGCUUUCUGGAGGGCAAUAAAGGCAGAUUGAAGCUCUGACACAGCCUGGUCAGCUGAGGGGAACUAAAAUACACCCCUGUCAUCUGCAUACAGGUGACAGUAUAUAUUUUUAUUUUACAGAUAAACCAAUAUUGUUAAUGUAAAUACUGAAAAGAACCAGAAAACCUGAUUUAACAGCAUCAGUAAAUAGAAACUCCGUUCUGUCCUUAAAUGCAGCUUGGUCCAGGUAAAUUGAUGAAUGCCUCUGAAUAAGUAAUGAGUGAUCCACAGUGUCGAAGGCUUUAGACAAGUCAAUAAAAAGGCCCGCACAGUCUCUUAGUUUCUUCUUCUUAGUUUCUUCUUAUACAAACAAUUAAGGACAACAUUUUAAACCAAAGAAGUAGCAGAGAUGGUGCUAUGACCUGGUCUGAAACCUGACUGGUGGACAUUUAGAAUACAUUUUGUGUUCUCUUAAGGAUCCGCCCCUUUUUUUCAUUUUCGCCUAAAAUGACAUACCCAAAUCUGACUGCCUGUAGCUCAGGACCUGAAGCAAGGAUAUGCAUAUUCUUGAUAUCAUUUGAAAGGAAACACUUUGAAGUUUGUGGAAAUGUGAAAUGAAUGUAGGAGAAUAUAACACAUUAGAUCUGGUAAAAGAUAAUACAAAGAAAAACCAUGCAUUCUUUUUUGUACCAUCAUCUUUGAAAUGCAAGAGAAAGGCCAUAAUGUGUUAUUCCAGCCCAGGCGCAAUUUCGAUUUUGGCCACUAGAUGGCAGCAGUACAUGUGCUAGCUAUGAAGCUAGCUAGCUAACGAAGAACAACAAAGAAUAUCUAGUUAACAGAAGAAAAGAAAGAGAAAAUCAGGACAGAAGAAAAAGGAUAUCAAAGUGAAACAGUUCUCUAAAGACACAAGAGACAAUAAUACAAGAAACAACACUUCUGUAGCUUGUCAACUAUGUGUCUGUCUAUCCCUGUUCUCUCCCCUCUGCACAGGCCAUACAAAUGCUUCACACCGCGUGGCCGCUGCCACUCUAACCUGGUGGUCCCAGCGCGCACGACCCACGUGGAGUUCCAGGUCUCCGGCAGCCUCUGGAACUGCCGGUCUGCAGCCAACAAGGCUGAGUUCAUCUCAGCCUAUGCUACCCUCCAGUCCCUAGACUUCCUGGCGCUGACGGAAACAUGGAUUACCACAGAUAACACUGCG
rnacentral:lncRNA from 1 species